AGGGGGCCGAAUUAACGGGUAGCCGGCCUGAGAGGGCGACCGGCCACACUGGGACUGAGACACGGCCCAGACUCCUGCGGGAGGCAGCAGUGGGGAAUAUUGCGCAAUGGGCGAAAGCCUGACGCAGCGACGCCGCGUGGGGGAUGACGGCCUUCGGGUUGUAAACCUCUUUUACCACUCACGCAGGCCCCGCGUUCUCGCGGGGUUGACGGUAGGUGGGGAAUAAGGACCGGCUAACUACGUGCCAGCAGCCGCGGUAAUACGUAGGGUCCGAGCGUUGUCCGGAAUUAUUGGGCGUAAAGAGCUCGUAGGCGGCGUGUCGCGUCUGCUGUGAAAGACCGGGGCUUAACCCCGGUUCUGCAGUGGAUACGGGCAUGCUAGAGGUAGGUAGGGGAGACUGGAAUUCCUGGUGUAGCGGUGAAAUGCGCAGAUAUCAGGAGGAACACCGGUGGCGAAGGCGGGUCUCUGGGCCUUACCUGACGCUGAGGAGCGAAAGCAUGGGGAGCGAACAGGAUUAGAUACCCUGGUAGUCCAUGCCGUAAACGUUGGGCGCUAGGUGUGGGGACUUUCCACGGUUUCCGCGCCGUAGCUAACGCAUUAAGCGCCCCGCCUGGGGAGUACGGCCGCAAGGCUAAAACUCAAAGGAAUUGACGGGGGCCCGCACAAGCGGCGGAGCAUGUUGCUUAAUUCGACGCAACGCGAAGAACCUUACCAAGGUUUGACAUCACCCGUGGACCUGUAGAGAUACAGGGUCAUUUGGUUGGCGGGUGACAGGUGGUGCAUGGCUGCCGUCAGCCUCGUAAUACACCUUCCGGGUUCGGGAGAUGUUGGGGUUUAAGUCCCCGCAACGAGCGCAACCCUUGUUCCAUGUUGCCAGCACGUAGUGGUGGGGACUCAUGGGAGACUGCCGGGGUCAACUCGGAGGAAGGUGGGGACGACGUCAAGUCAUCAUGCCCCUUAUGUCUUGGGCUGCAAACAUGCUACAAUGGCCGGUACAAUGGGCGUGCGAUACCGUGAGGUGGAGCGAAUCCCUAAAAGCCGGUCUCAGUUCGGAUUGGGGUCUGCAACUCGACCCCAUGAAGGUGGAGUCGCUAGUAAUCGCGGAUCAGCAACGCCGCGGUGAAUACGUUCCCGGGCCUUGUACACACCGCCCGUCACGUCAUGAAAGUCGGCAACACCCGAAACUUGUGGCCUAACCCUUCGGGGAGGGAGUGAGUGAAGGUGGGGCUGGCGAUUGGGACGAAGUCGUAACAAGGUAGCCGUACCGGAAGGUGCGGCUGGAUCACCUCCUUAUAA
rnacentral:rRNA from 1 species